GUAAGACACAUGCACUCCAGAAGGAGGGAGAUGAACUCCAGAAAAUUCAAGUAAUUGGCAACUCAGUAAAGUUUCUCUACAGCCCAUGGUCAGGUACAUGCCAGGACAUUCCCUUCAAAGUAAAGGACAGAUUGCUGCAUCACGUAUCCACUACUAAAAUGAAGGAAGCACAAUGACUGUUAAGCCACCUUGGGCUUUGGAAGCAACACAUUCCACACAUAGGAAAACUGCUCCAGCCCAUAUGGAAGGUGCCAGCUUUGAGUAGGGCUCAGGGGAGAGAAUCGCUCUGCAGCAGGUGCUGGCUGCAAGAACAAAAAUCUCAGCACAUUCUAUGAUAUUUGAGAUAUCAGUAGUAGAAAAAGAUACGGUGUGAAGUUUAUGGCAAGGCCCAGUGUAAGAAUCACAACCCAGGCUUCUGGGGUGAUGGAGCAAGGUCACACCAUAUGCAGCAGAGGAUUAAAUAUCUUUUGUUAAACAGCUCCUAGCAUGCUAAUGGGCCCUGAUAGAGCUGGAACGCUUGACGUUGGGAUACCAAGUGAUCCUGACUCUGGAAUUGCUCAUCGUGAGUUGGGAACAGUCAUAAAGUAAGAUAGGCCCAGUAGCAAUCCAUCAUAAGAUGGAAAUGGUACAUCUGGGACUGAGCAUGAGCAGGAAGAGAUCACAUUACAAGAAGCAUGAGCAGUGGGUCCAGAAUCCCAUGGCAUCCAUCAUGUCCCAUCGUGGCUUCCAUUGUGUAGCAGUGUCCCUCCUCAGCUCACAGUGAAGACCAUAUGGGCCUCCCAUCCAACCAGCUGAAGGAAGAAGAAAAACUCCUAGCUUGGUUUACAGAUGGGUUGAUUUGGUAUGUGGGUGAAAACCAAAAGUGGAUGUUGUCUGCAUUAUAGCCUUACUCAAACCAAAAGUGGAUGCUGUCUGCAUUAUAACCUUACUCACGAUUGGCUUUGAAAGACAGUAAUGAGAACUGUUUGAAAGACAGAUCUUCCCAACGGGCAGAGCUUCUGGAGGUGCAGCUGGUCACCCACUUUGUGUGAAACAAGUGGCCAAAAGUCAAAACGUACAUGGACUCAUGGACAAUGGUGAAUGGUCAUGGGCUGGAAGGAGAAAAAUUAGAAUACCUGGGACAAAGAGGUCUGGAGAAGAGACAUGUAGAUGAACAUACGAGAGUAGGCACAAGGUGUGAAGAUUUUUGUAUUGUAUAUUAAUGCCCACCCAAAAGCACCCACAUAGCAUGGGCAUCAAAUAACCAAGAGGGCAAAAUAACUUGACCAGUUGUCAUUCACUGACAUGAUAGGUAAACAGAUGACAUGGCCACAGUGGCAGAGAUGGAGGCUUUGCAUGGAUCAAAAAAACACAGACUCCCACUUAGAAAGGCCAAUCUAAUGAUUGCCUGCUUUGAAUGUUCAACCUGCCAGCAACGGACAGCAAUAAUGAGCCCCUAGUAUGGAUGGCACUACUCCUUAAGGAGAUUAACCGGUCACUUGGUAGCAAAAGCUCCUUUCAUCCUAGAAGAGCCAAAGAUUUUUCUCACAGGAAUAGAUACUUAAUCUGAGUAUGGGUUUGCCCUUCUGCCUGCAGUGCCUCAGCUAGCACCACUAUCAAGCCACUUACAGAAUGCCUGAUCUACAGACACGAAACAACUUAGUAUCCAGCAAGGGAAUCCAUUUUAGAGACCCACUGGCCAUGUCAUAGACUGUGUCAUUUAAAAGCUGCUGGCUAAAUACAGUUGGUAUGGUGUGCUGAAGGUACAGCUGAAGCACCAGCUCAAAUGCCACACUCUGCAAGGAUGCGAGUACCAUCCUUAAGGAUGUGGAUACAUGCUGAAUUACAGAACUUUAUAUGGCACUAUGUCUCCAAGAGGGAAAACUCAUGGAUCCAGGAACCAAGGGAGGGAAGCAGGAGUGGCCUCACUUACCAUCACUUUCAGUGACUCACUAGGGGUCCCCACAGCUCUGGAUUCUGCAGGGUUAGAGGUCCUGGUCCCCAGAAAGGGUGUGUUUUUGGCAGAGGAUGGCAAAAAUCCCAUUGAACAAUAAGCUACAGCUCCACUUGGACACUCCGGGCUCUGUGCGGCCAGGAACCAGGAGGCAAGAAGAGGAACCACUUCUGUCAGGGGUAAUUGACCUUGAUCAGCAGGAGCAGGCAGAGCUGCUGUUACAUGAUGGGAGCAGGGAGGAACGUCCAUGGAACUCAGUUGACCCACUUGGGUGCCUCUUGGAAGGCUCUUGCCUAAUUGUGACAAAUGUAGUGAUGUAGUAAUGGAGCCUAGACACGGGUAAGAUUACCAGGAAUUCAGGCCCCUCAGGAAGGAUGGUUUGGGAAACACCACCAUGUGAGCCACUGAGGCCAGCAGAGAGUGAGGGACUUUCGAACAGUUAGUGGAGGAGAGAGACAAUGAGUAUCAGUUGUGGUUAUGAGACCACCUGUAGCCAUGGGGGCUAUAGUUCAUCUCUCUAAAUUCCCUCUUUUAAGUUUCCCCUCAGGAAGAGAGGCCCACCAGAACCCCAGAAGAGCUGCUCCACAACUGUGCUAUGAAGUGGAGCCACACGGGACACAAGUGUGUGCUUCUGGAAGAAUCUAACUGGAACAGAUGUGUCCAAGAGGCCCCUGAAUUCAAGCUGUUCCCUGCUCCCAAUCCUGGGAGGAUAACAAUUCCUAAGACAGAGGAAAUGAGAAACAUUGAAACAACUCUUUUGACAAAACACUGUGGCCAGCGCAUUGGGGAAAAAUACUUCACACCUAUAUGAUCACGAACCAAUUUUCUCUAGCACUAUUGUGAUAAGACAAUUUUAUAUCUGUGGGUAAAUAUUGCAAUUUUAAUAUACAUGUAAAUAAAAAUAUUUCCUAUAAACACAUUCUUUUAUUGUUCAUUCUUAGUAUUCAUACUUAUCUAUAAAAAUAUUUCCUAUAAACACAUUCUUU
rnacentral:lncRNA from 1 species